AUGUGAGCGCGCGUCGCUUCGUCAGUCGGCAAACCGCCCGGGCGGGCGCCACACGACCGGAAUCUGCGCGAGCGACGAGCGGUGCCAACGAAUAUAAAUUUCAGUGAAAUAAAACACGCAUCCGCGUACCGCUGUAACGUAAAAUGCGAGCGCAAGAUUCUGUGAAUCAAAUACGAGAAAAGUGAACGAGCCUCGAGUGCAGAGUACGACGCCACACGUCGCAC